rnacentral:rRNA from 1 species
UACGUAGGGGGCAAGCGUUGUCCGGAUUUAUUGGGCGUAAAGAGCGUGUAGGCGGCCAAACAGGUCAGCUGUGAAAACUCGAGGCUCAACCUCGAGACGUCGGUUGAAACCGUUUGGCUAGAGUCCGGAAGAGGAGAAUGGAAUUCCUGGUGUAGCGGUGAAAUGCGCAGAUAUCAGGAAGAACACCCGUGGCUAAGGCGGUUCUCUAGUACGGUACUGACGCUGAGACGCGAAAGCAUGGGGAGCGAACAGG